GACCUGGUGGUGUGUGGUGCACACCCACUCAACUUUCAUGAUUACCGGAAUUCAAGUGGGAGGUCCCCGUUCGAUUCGGGGUCAGGUCA